CCCCUUCCCCCCGGCCUUUCGGGCCCCUAUAUUGGCAGAGCCUCCCUGGAGGCUAUGGGCAUAAACGCGCUCGGAAUAAACGGAUCGGACCCGGGGGCGGUACCCGGCGGCUCCACCAGAUACCCUUCGUUGGGGGGACAGGGGGCCGAAACAGGAUCGACGAACGUGUAAAGGGGUUGCUUUGUCCCGGUGAGGUACCACCGUUAUCGGUCCGCAAAGCAUAAUUGCCAACGACAAUCGUGCUCCGGUCGCCCUCGCCGCCUAAGCGGUGCGGAAGAUCGAAACUCAAGCCCUCUCGCCUAGCCGCGUGAGGCGGGGUUCGCAGGCACCUGGCAACAGAAGCCUGCACU
rnacentral:tmRNA from 1 species